UACGGGGGAGCAAGCGUUGUUCGGAUUUACUGGGCGUAAAGGGCGCGUAGGCGGCCACCGCAAGUCGACUGUGAAAUCUCCGGGACUUAACCCGGAAAGGUCAGCCGAUACUGCGGGCUAGAGUGCAGAAGGGGCAACUGGAAUUCUCGGUGUAGCGGUGAAAUGCGUAGAUAUCGAGAGGAACACCUGCGGCGAAGGCGGGUUGCUGGGCUGUUGCUGACGCUGAGGCGCGACAGCGUGGGGAGCAAACAGG
rnacentral:rRNA from 1 species